GUUUUGAAUUUGCAAGCUUCCAAGACUGCAUGUGCACAGCCACAAGAGGACGGGCAGCAAAAGUUUAAGGGAGGGAAAAUCCCUCUAAAAUUACUACAGAACCAAAACAUGGAAAUUGAGAAGCGAGUUGGAAGUAGACUCAUUAAUAUAUAUAUAUAUAUAUAUAUAUAUAUAUAUAUAUAUUAAAGAGUAUAGAUUAACAGCACUUUCUAAAUUGGUUGAUAAAAGCUUGAGAGUCAAAAUAUCCAUUGUCCAAAUGAAAUGGUAUGUUAAAACAGGCUCAACACGGAACAAUUUAUUUUUAGUUACUAUUAAAAUCUUGCAUUUAUGA